AGUUGUGAAGAGUAGAUUUGUUAAGCUCACAUCUUGAUGUGAAACCUCGAUAUCCAAAACCAAAGAUUUGUCCAUAUUUAUUGUUGAUUACCCCAAGAUUUAUAUCUUUUGACGCUACAAUUUCAAGAUAUUCCCUGGAUGUGGAAAGUGGAUAAUGAUGAGUCCUGUUUAAAGAAAGUAAAGGAUUGACUCUUCUAGAGAGCCUGAAAAGUGACAUCUUCCGCGAAACUGGAAGCAACCCGGUAUUUUUCUCGGAAGCUUAAGCUCCAAACUAUACAAAUUUGUUCCCAAAAUAGCAAAAAUCAAGAGGCUCUCGUCGGAAUUCGAACCAAUAGGUGAAAAUGCGCAGUAACCUCAAAGUACAAACGUAAAUCCCAAUCUUUUACUCAAGUCUCCGGUAGAGAGAAGUGGCCGCCGGUGGAGUGGGAAAAUGGUUCAGGCGAG
rnacentral:misc_RNA from 1 species